rnacentral:piRNA from 1 species
CCGAAAAUAUCUUGUGGAGAUUUUUGC